UACGGAGGGUGCAAGCGUUGUCCGGAUUUAUUGGGCGUAAAGAGCGUGUAGGCGGUCAGGUAGGUCCGUUGUGAAAACUCGAGGCUCAACCUCGAGCUGUCGGCGGAAACCAUCUGGCUAGAGUCCGGAAGAGGAGAAUGGAAUUCCCGGUGUAGCGGUGAAAUGCGCAGAUAUCGGGAAGAACACCCGUGGCGAAGGCGGUUCUCUGGGACGGUACUGACGCUGAGACGCGAAAGCGUGGGGAGCGAACAGG
rnacentral:rRNA from 1 species